UGUAGCGGUGAAAUGCGCAGAGAUCUGGAGGAAUACCGGUGGCGAAGGCGGCGCCCUGGACAAAGACUGACGCUCAGGUGCGAAAGCGUGGGGAGCAAACAGGAUUAGAUACCCUGGUAGUCCACGCCGUAAACGAUGUCGACUUGGAGGUUGUUCCCUUGAGGAGUGGCUUCCGGAGCUAACGCGUUAAGUCGACCGCCUGGGGAGUACGACCGCAAGGUUAAAACUCAAAUGAAUUGACGGGGGCCCGCACAAGCGGUGGAGCAUGUGGUUUAAUUCGAUGCAACGCGAAGAACCUUACCUACUCUUGACAUCCAGAGAACUUAGCAGAGAUGCUUUGGUGCCUUCGGGAACUCUGAGACAGGUGCUGCAUGGCUGUCGUUAGCUCGUGUUGUGAAAUGUUGGGUUAAGUCCCGCAACGAGCGCAACCCUUA
rnacentral:rRNA from 1 species